GUGCUUUGAACUUGUUUAUGGUCCUUCGUAACACUGUGCUGCUAGGUAGGAGACUACGUUCUCACCCGAACAGAAUACCAUUAAUAAUUUACACUGUGAGUCAGGGACUUUGUCCUAGGGUACUUGCAUAGGCAUAGUGGCCACUUUUCCAAGAUAAGAACUUGAAACUCUAUCUUCCUUGAGGUUACAUUGCAGACACCAGACCCUGAUGGGUUGCAACCAGAUCUAAGGACAGGCAGUCCUACCUCUGCUGGCAUCCUUGUAGCGCUGUCCUCACACUCAGUCCCACACACAGGAGCUGAAUUGUUUGACGAGCUUCAAGCAAUUUCUACAGCAUAAAUAAAGACAGAGAACAAUUAUUAGUUUGUCAGG